rnacentral:snoRNA from 1 species
GUCUUUUCAUUGAGCACCUUUCUCUUGAUUGGUGGCAGUGUAUGGAUUCAUGUGAAAAAAAAAUUCAGAGAAUGAGCAUUCUUUUGCUUCCUGUCUUCACAGAAGUGUAGUCUGCUAUUUUAUGAGACAAUG